UGGAAAAGGAUGUGGGAUUUCGAAGACAGCUAGGAUGUUGGCUUAGAAGCAGCCACACAUUCAAAGAGUGCGUAAUAGCUCACUAGUCGAGAGGUCCUGCGCCGAAAAUUUCCGGGGCUAAAACACGAUACCGAAGCUUAGGAAUGUAGCAAUACAUUGGUAGAGGAGCAAUCUCAGAGUGCCGAAGCGCUACCGCAAGGAAGCGUGGAGUUCUGAGAAGAGAGAAUGCCGGAAUGAGUAGCGAGAAUGAUGUGAGAAUCAUCAUGGCCGAAUAUCCAAGGAUUCCAGGGUAAAGCUGAUCUGCCCUGGGUAAGUCGGGACCUAAGGCGAGGGAGAGAUCCGUAGUCGAUGGACAGCAGGUUCAUAUUCCUGCACCUGACAUGAUCAGAACUGUGGGGACACAGGAACAAAACCGGACCCGGGAGAGCAAAGACCGGGCGAAGCGAAGCUAGGAGUGCGGUAGGCAAAUCCGCCGCACAAUCCGAAAGCGUGAUAGGGAGCGAAAUAUAAGUAGCGAAGCCGGUGGAGGGACUGUCGAGAAAAGCCGCUAUUGUAUCAUGUCAGCCCGUACCGCAAACCGACACAGGUGGAUGAGGAGAGAAUCCUAAGGCCGGCGGGAGAAGCAUUGUUAAGGAACUCGGCAAAAUGACCCCGUAACUUCGGGAGAAGGGGUGCCACUGGAAACAGUGGUCGCAGAAAAAAGGCUCAAGCAACUGUUUAGCAAAAACACAGGUCUAUGCGAAACCGUAAGGUGAGGUAUAUGGGCUGACGCCUGCCCGGUGCUGGAAGGUUAAGAGGAGAGGUUAGCGCAAGCGAAGCUUUGAAUUUAAGCCCCAGUAAACGGCGGCCGUAACUAUAACGGUCCUAAGGUAGCGAAAUUCCUUGUCGGGUAAGUUCCGACCCGCACGAAAGGCGUAAUGAUUUGAGCGCUGUCUCAACAAUGCACCCGGUGAAAUUGAAGUACCAGUGAAGAUGCUGGUGACCUGCGCCAGGACGGAAAGACCCCAUGGAGCUUUACUCCAGCUUGAUACCGGGAUUCGGUGUUACUCGUACAGGAUAGGUGGGAGGCUAAGAAGGAAGGACGCCAGUCUUUCCGGAGCCGCUGUUGGGAUACCACCCCUGUGGCACUGGAUUUCUAACCUACAUCCGUGAUCCGGAUGGGGGACAAUGUCAGGUGGGGAGUUUGACUGGGGCGGUCGCCUCCGAAAGUGUAUCGGAGGCGCUCAAAGGUUCCCUCAGAAUGGUUGGAAACCAUUCGAAGAGCGCAAAGGCAGAAGGGAGCUUGACUGCGACACCGACGGGUGGAGCAGGUACGAAAG
rnacentral:rRNA from 1 species